CUAGUGAUGUCUGGACAUGUUUCUCUGUUUGUACGCCUUGGAAGAUACGACCAGAAGCCGUUGGAUUUCGUGAAUGGAAGACGCUUUUGACAGAUUUGUUUCUGUGCACAAGACAAAUGGGCUGUCGUACUCCCGACGUAGGAAAUGAACACACGUCGCUGGGAUCUUAAAAGACAAAGUAGGGUGUGCACUUCACCCAUGCAACUCCAAUGUCAGCUUCAUGGCAGUACAAGCUUUUACAACCGUGCCCUUGAAUGUAACAAGCCAAAUAAACUGGAUAACAGAGAAAAGUUUCCUGGUUCUUUUGCCACUAUGUUCGCGUAAGAUAUUCAACUUAUCAUACCUACAUUUUUCUAAGAUCUGUACUGCUUUCACAAUGUAUCCUCCCCUUUGGCGCUUUGUGUGUAGGUGGAUUUUGGUUCCCCACUAUGUGUCACUGGAUGCACCAUGUAUAACCUUCACUCCGUAUCGUCAUACGACCGUUACCCGACCAGCGGCUUCUUCAACGUGGUACAUAACCUUAUGCUCUCUGCGCCCCGUAUAAGCGGUCUCAUAAUUCCGUUGUGGCUCACACAAUCAUGUGGGUAUAUGGGUCACAUGAGAAUUGUAUGGGGCGUUUAUACGGGAUUGUUGGAUAUGGAGAUUCUCGUAUGGGUCAUACGGGCCACAUCAGGACCCCGUAUGGUCUAUAUAACUCAUAUGUCCAUAUAACACAUAACCCCAUGUUCAAUAAUGCCAUAUAUAUGGGACCCAUAUUUAUUCGAUAUGGGUUUUUUCAAUAGGGGAAGCAAUGUUCUUACUCAUAUUACAGUGUUAUGAAAUAGUAGGCGAUGCAAAUGGCCCAUUGCAGCCCAUAACAUAAGUGACAGAAAAAUAUUUUAAAUGUCAGAAUUCAUAGCAUGAAACAUAAAAGAGGAAGUGCAGAUAAACAUAUCUUGUGACAUGCAGCCUGUUGUUUGUGAAUACUGUUCGGGAGCUUUAAUUCAAAAUUUUGUUUGUACAUGCAGAAUAAACUCUAAUUAUUUGUGUCGCUCAUGCGCAAACAAGAACUCCCUUCUGCGGUUGAGUCUGUAUAUAACGAUAUUGACAGGAACGCAGAAUUCAACCGUUAUAGCAGAGCAUUGUUAUAAUCGAGCGUAAGAAGAAUGCUGACCGACAUCAUUACCAUCGAAAUACAGUGCUUUCAACAAUUCAGGUGAAGCCAGGCAUGCACGUUCUAUUACAUAAAUCAUAUUUCUGCUUAUUUUAUGACCCUGCUGUAUUAAAGUUUUCGUCGGCGACAAAAUGAGCAUUCUGGUGCCACCGUGCACAGGGCGCCGCCAUUGGGGUACCGACAUUGGGAUGCCACCUCACUAAUGAGCAAUAACAAUGCAUAUUUUUUUUCUUUAAAACAACAAAUGCGCCAAAGUGCUGGCGCUCAUGAGCAGACACCUUCAUCGUCACCGCGCCACACUUCAGGUUAGAUGUCAUCAGUGUUUGGACUCCGUGGAAGAGCUACUAUACUUCAUAUUUUUCUGCAUGUUGCAUGUCACUGCACAAUGGUCAGCCUGUUGGAUACUCCACGUCUGCAUGUGUUGUCAAUAAUAUUUAGUACGAUGUAUGAUAUGCAGCAAAUACAACGAUGCCAAUUUUGCGGAAGGAGGUUACCUAAAGUCGCGCUUCACAACGUGUAACUUUGCAUAGGACUCACGAUACAAUGAUGCUGCAUGGGAAAUGUGUAGUAAAUUGGCUUACCUUAGAGUACUUAAUGCACAAAGUCCUGCUUUGUCACAAAAGCAAAUGUACUGUAUUUAUUCAAAUGUAAGCAGAGGCUUCUUCACGAAUAAGGGAGACAGAGGUGUGAUGUCAGCUUAGGUUGAAGGGUACCGUACCACCGGCCACAGCGCACAAUAGUGUUCCCAUCAUGAUAGCCUUAGCGAGCCAACCCCACCGAAAUGAGAG